rfam:Triticum aestivum genome assembly, contig: Triticum_aestivum_CS42_TGACv1_scaffold_213032_3AS
UCCAUUGCUCAGUUGGUAAAGCACAAAGCUCUUAACCUUGUGGACGUGGGUUCAAGCCCUACAAUGGAA